rnacentral:rRNA from 1 species
GAUGAACGCUGGCGGCGUGCCUAAUACAUGCAAGUAGAACGCUGAAGGAGGAGCUUGCUCUUCUGGAUGAGUUGCGAACGGGUGAGUAACGCGUAGGUAACCUGCCUGGUAGCGGGGGAUAACUAUUGGAAACGAUAGCUAAUACCGCAUGACAACAGUUAUUGCAUGAUAACUGUUUAAAAGGGGCAACUGCUCCACUACCAGAUGGACCUGCGUUGUAUUAGCUAGUUGGUGAGGUAACGGCUCACCAAGGCGACGAUACAUAGCCGACCUGAGAGGGUGAUCGGCCACACUGGGACUGAGACACGGCCCAGACUCCUACGGGAGGCAGCAGUAGGGAAUCUUCGGCAAUGGACGGAAGUCUGACCGAGCAACGCCGCGGGAGUGAAGAAGGGUUUCGGAUCGUAAAGCUCUGUUGUAAGAGAAGAACGAGUGUGAGAGUGGAAAGUUCACACUGUGACGGUAUCUUAACAGAAAGGGACGGCUAACUACGUG